UGAAAAACCACAAUAUCUACUAGUGGUAGGCUUGGACUUUUACAAAAUGGUAUCAGAGCGAGCCGCAUGUUACAAUUUCAAUCUCCACCAUCCACCUUUGUGAGAAAAGACUGUUUUUGUGACAGGCUGGGUUUAUGCUAUUUUGUAGGAUCCGUGGGGUGAGAAAUAAUUGAAUCUUCAUAGGGAGAGAGUAGUGAUACAAUAAUGUUUUGUCUUUUAUUAUAUUCUCUAUUUCUCUUUGGACAUCAGUAUGUAGGCCUUUUUGUAACUAUUCACUAGAUCUCAUAUUACUUGAUUGGAGCUCCUUCUUGUAGUUGGCGCCCUGUGGGCUUCUCUUUUUUGUAUGCUUGUGAAUUCUUUCGGAAUUUUCUAUUUUUUUCAAAAAAAAAAAAGUACAAAUCAGACAGAACACAAUUGUUAGGGACCCAAGCCAUGAGGACCCCUGAUGCUGGGAAGCUGUUGAAGUUCAAUCUACUUUCACCAGAAGCUGGAGAAGUUGGGACAGCUGAAGUUGACUGUAAGAGUCUUAAAUGCGGUGUCUUGAUCUGAUCUCCAAUGGUUGCUGGGUAAAAUGGCCGACUCUGCUUCCACUUUGAGUGCCUUUUCCUUCAUCUCAUUGCAUUUGUAAGUACACGGGCGGUGGAAAGCCCCGAUGCCCCACCAUUCUUGAUCAUUUCUUUAACCACUUGUUAUUAUUGUAAACACAAGACUGCUCUGAGUGGGACUUCCCCGACCCAAUGCUCGUUACUUUGCCACCUAACUAUGCUU